UCUUGUUCAGCAGCAGCUGUCAGUCUGUUGCAGGCUGUUGGUAACAAGUCAUUUCUGCAAGGUGGUGAAGACUGCAAGGUAGAACCGGACUCUUUGAGGAUGUCGAGUUCUCUUGUCGUGUGUGAGGUGGACGAAAGCCUGAAAGAUAAACUGAAAAAGUUUCGAUUUCGAAAAGAAACCAACAAUGCUGCCAUGUUAAUUAAAAUAGACAUGAAGCAACAGCGUGUCGUCCUUGAAGAGAA